CUGUUCAAAGCUUACACGUUUUGGUCUACCUGGUCAUAGUAAGCGUUGGGACCAACCCGUGCUUAGUUCAACAAAGAUGGAUAUUGAAACAGGUGUCGGCGUGUAAGUGGGGGGGGCGUGCGUUCAAAGGCACUAGCGAGGCAUCCCAAGUGUUUUUGUUUUUCUGUAGGGGGGAAGUGUGAGCCAGUGAUUGCAAUGCUGCAGUGUUGAGCCAAGGGAUUUUUUUCGGGGGGAAGACGCAGGUAGUGAGCGAGCGCGGGAGGUAAGCAUCCCAUCAAUGAAUAAAGAGUCACCGCAAGGCGUAGUGCUAUGGCCACAGGAGUUUAUCCGAGAUUUAAAAUGCGUUCCCACUGCCCUUGGUGUGGCGUGGGAGGCGAGAUCGGGACAGUGAAAUGAUGGCUGAUACUAGACUCGCAUGUUUUCGCAUCCGUGGAGGGAGUGCCUUGAUUGUGUGGGAGGGACAGUACAUGCGAUGAGGCAAGGUAGUGUUCUUUGUGCCACGGUCGCCAAACAAUUAGGAAACGAAGGAAGGAAUGCCAGUGGAUAAGAACUGUGCAAUAUGAGGAACCAAUAGACAGAAAUUGAAAAAAAAGAUAUAGGACUUUAUUAGUGAUAUCGAAAGAGUGAUUGACUUAAAAGCUAAGAAAAGGAAGAUAAAAAAGGCACCGGACGGUGAUAAGAGGAAUCAGUGCUAAACGUGAGGAGGAUUAUGGCUUCAGACUUGCUUCAGAAGGGUCUCCCGCUUCCUUGGAGUUUCGGCGUGACUCGAGAUGGACGCAUUUUUUUCAUCAAUGAGGAGGCUCGUUUGACUACUUGGCUUCACCCGGUGACCUGUGAACCCGUGCUGACCGGACACCAACCCCUCGCAGACCUUCCCAAGGGAUGGGAGCGCGGAGUUACACCGGAGGGAAUCCCCUACUAUAUUGAGUAA
rnacentral:lncRNA from 1 species